rnacentral:rRNA from 1 species
AGAGUUCGAUCCUGGCUCAGAACGGACGUUGGCGGCGUGGAUUAGGCAUGCAAGUCGAGCGAGAUUCCACUUUUUCAAUUCUUCGGAAGAGAAGUUGUGGAUGACAGCGGCGAACGGGUUAGUAAUAAAUGGGUAAUUUGCCUCUUUGUUCGGAAUAGCCAUCGGAAACGAUGAUUAAUGCCGGAUGUGUUCGGGAACUGCAUAGUUCUCUAUACAAAGGCGGGGAUUCUUCGGAACCUGUCGCAAGGAGAUAAGCCCAUUUCCUAUCAGCUAGUUGGUGAGGUAAUGGCUCACCAAGGCUUACGGGUAGUUGGUCUGAGAGGAUGAUCAGCAACACUGGGACUGAGACACUGCCCAGACUCCUACGGGAGGCUGCAGUCGAGAAUCAUUGUCAAUGCACGAAAGUGUGAACAUGCGACGCCGCGUGGAGGAAGACGGCCUUUGGGUUGUAAACUCCUGUCAGCAGGGAGUAAGGAUGGUUUUUCUAAUACAAAUGCCAUUUGAUAGUACCUGCAGAGGAAGUCACGGCUAACUCUGUGCCAGCAGCCGCGGUAAUACAGAGGUGGCGAACGUUGUUCGGAUUUACUGGGCGUAAAGGGUCCGCAGGCGGUCUGGUGUGUCAGAUGUGAAAGCCCACAGCUUAACUGUGGAAUUGCAUUUGAAACUGCCAGACUAGAGUACUGGAGGGGAGAAGGGAACACUUGGUGUAGCGGUGAAAUGCGUAGAUAUCAAGUGGAACACCGGUGGCGAAGGCGCUUCUCUGGACAGAUACUGACGCUCAUGGACGAAAGUUAGGGUAGCGAAAGGGAUUGGAUACCCCUGUAGUCCUAACCGUAAACGGUGUGCGCUAGGCGUGGGUGGCUUUACCCCCAUCCGUGCCUGAGCUAACGCAUUAAGCGCACCGCCUGGGGAGUACGGUCGCAAGAUUAAAACUCAAAGGAAUUGACGGGGACCCGCACAAGCGGUGGAGCAUGUGGCUUAAUUCGAUGCAACGCGAAGAACCUUACCUGGGCUUGACAUAUAGCUGCAUACGACCCGAAAGGGACGUAGCCUUCGAGGGUGCUAUACAGGUGCUGCAUGGCUGUCGUCAGCUCGUGCCGUGAGGUGUUGGGUUAAGUCCCGCAACGAGCGCAACCCCUGUGUUUAGUUGCCAGCACGUAAUGGUGGGAACUCUAAACAGACUGCCUGUGAAAACAGGAGGAAGGUG